ensembl:lncRNA ROR1-AS1 ROR1 antisense RNA 1
AAAGUGGUGUGAUCUCGGCUCACUGCAACCUCUGCCUCCCAGGUUCAAGUGAUUAUCCUGGCUUAGCCUCCCUAGUAGCUGGGAUUACAGAUGAGGAAACCGAAGCUCUUGGGGUAACACGACUUGUGAAACUGCAUGCUACUCCUCAGUGGCAGGGUGGGGACUCUGGACAGAGGAACUGGCAAGGUCUUCUAGACCUUUGACGUGCAUAAACUGGCAGGUUUACAGAAUAACGAGGAAAACAAAGUGAAACAAAAGACUGUACCCGUGUGCUAAGAAUUUAUUACCCGCACAUCAAAAAACUUAUCCAUCACGAUCAAGCUGGCUUCAUCCCUGGGAUGCAAAGCUGGCUCAGCAUAUGCAAAUCAAUAAACAUAAUCCGUCACAUAAACAGAACCAAAGACAAAAACCACAUGGUUAUCUCAGUAGAUGCAGAAAAGGCCUUUGAUAAAAUUCAACAUCCCUUCAUGUUAAAAACUCAAUAAACUAGAUAUUGAUGG